AGGACUACUAGCACAAGCUAAAAACUCAAAGGACUUGGCGGUGCCUCAAACCCACCUAGAGGAGCCUGUCCUAAAACCGAUAAUCCACGUUUUACCUAACCACUUUUUGCCAAUUCAGCCUAUAUACCGCCGUCGCCAGCCAACCCCGUGAGAGAAAUAAAGUAGGCAAAAUUAACUUAGUUAAAUACGUCAGGUCGAGGUGUAGCAUAUGAAGUGGGAAGAGAUGGGCUACAUUUUCUUGUAGAAUAUACGAAUAGCUAAAUGAAAUAAAGCUGGAAGGUGUUUAGAAGAAA
rnacentral:rRNA from 1 species